GCUCCGAGCGCCCGGCGGGAGGGGCGGCGGGAGGGGGGCGACCGCUGCGUCCGACAACUGAAUCUCGGGGACCUGGGCCCUCGGUCGCCGCCCCCUCGCCCCGCCCCGCCCCGCCCCGCCCCGCCCCGCCGUGGGGGCUCCCUGCGUUCUAGAAGCCCGAGGACUCCCUUCGCACCGCAGACGGCCUCCGCCGUGGGAAUCACGAUGUUGAUGGAUUUGCCAGACUGUGCCAGAUAAAGUUGUGGCUGCUACUCCAGUUUCUUGGCAUCUCUGACCAAGCAAAGGAGACACUCAAGGAAGACCAGGCCUUUUAAAAAUCGUGAACGAAGGAGGAGAAGGAGAAGAAAAAGAAUUUUUUUAAUCACCUGAAAACACCUUUUAGAUUCUAAAGCAGGAAUAAUCAUCAUUCUGAUCCCCCUGCCAGCCUCUGAUUCAACAGAAAUCUGGAAGGGUCUCCAGUCUGGCCCAGAAAGGAUCGUUUUCAAUCUACGCUGUGGUUAAAAAGGAGCCCAGGCCGAAUUGUACCAGCAGGUCCCUCUUGGGCUGUUGCUCCCUGAUGUCAAUGGCUAGCUCUCUCUGCCUGCAGCCUUGUUUCAGCCUGCCCCCCGCCAAGGCUUGUUCACCCCUCGUCCUGAGCCUGCCACAGAUUCAGCACCUGCCAUCAGAGCUCCCCUCCAGCGUGCCCACCUAGACGCGUGCCAACACCCUGGCCUGAUGCCUCUAGGGGGUCUCUAUAGUAAAGCCUAGCUGUUGAAGACUUCAACGCACCAGCCUUAGAGCAUGCAAGUGCCUGCUGAUCCAAGAGCAGAAGUAUCUUCCGUAAAGACCUUGUAAUUUAAUCUCUUAGCGGAGGCUUGGAGGCUCGAGCCCUCCAUCAACAGAUGGCUUCCCUUACACCUGCACGUGGUCCCUCUUCCCAGGGAUUCACUGGGAAAGCCGGUCCUCCAAGAAGACUAUUGGCCUUUGCACUAGCCAGGAGGACUGGGGUGUCUGGUAUGCAACCAUUGCCUACCCAGCUUGGAACGGAGGCUUGGAGGCAGAGACUGCAUCGAGUUUUAUUAUUAAAGGAAUCUCCUGCCUCUCUCAGUGUCCUGCUGAAGACCCCUCUGCACCCCUUCUCCUAUCUUGAAAGGAGAGAAACAGAGGAGACUAUUUCUCUAUAGAGAACUCCUGGCCCCUCCAUCCUGGAUCUUCAGACAGUCACCACCUUGAACCUUCAAUUUUUAAUGACUGCCACUUCUCACAGUAGGGUGGGCCUACAAGGUAAUCAGUAGGACUAUGGAAUCCAUAGGUUCCACGGGCAAGUCCGUCUUGUAACUUUACAGAAGGCUGGCGGUGCUCAGGCCUUCCUUCGGGACCCCCAUGCUGGCAAGCCCCUCCCCACACCCGCUAAUUGAUUUGGGAGUCAGCCUUCCCACUUGUGUGUAAAUUGAGAGCAGGGACGCCUGGGUGGCUCAGCGGUUGAGAGUCUGCCUUCCGCCCAGGCUGUGAUCCUGGAGGCCCAGGAUCGAGUCCCACAUCGGGCUCCCUGCGUGGAGCCUGCUUCUCCCUCUGCCCAUGUCUCUGCCCCUCUCUGUCUGUGUGUCUCUCAUGAAUAAACAAAUAAAAUCUUUAAAAAACAA